rnacentral:rRNA from 1 species
CCUACGGGUGGCAGCAGUGGGGAAUAUUGGACAAUGGGCGAAAGCCUGAUCCAGCCAUGCCGCGUGUGUGAAGAAGGCCUUCGGGUUGUAAAGCACUUUCAGUGGGGAAGAAAGCCUUGGGGCUAAUACCCUCGAGGAAGGACAUCACCCACAGAAGAAGCACCGGCUAACUCCGUGCCAGCAGCCGCGGUAAUACGGAGGUUGCGAGCGUUAAUCGGAAUUACUGGGCGUAAAGCGCGCGUAGGCGGUCUGAUAAGCCGGUUGUGAAAGCCCCGGGCUCAACCUGGGAACGGCAUCCGGAACUGUCAGGCUAGAGUGCAGGAGAGGAAGGUAGAAUUCCCGGUGUAGCGGUGAAAUGCGUAGAGAUCGGGAGGAAUACCAGUGGCGAAGGCGGCCUUCUGGACUGACACUGACGCUGAGGUGCGAAAGCGUGGGUAGCAAACAGGAUUAGAUACCCCAGUAGUC